rnacentral:rRNA from 1 species
AGUCGAGCGGUAGAGAGGAGCUUGCUUCUCUUGAGAGCGGCGGACGGGUGAGUAAUGCCUAGGAAUCUGCCUAGUGGUGGGGGAUAACGUUCGGAAACGGACGCUAAUACCGCAUACGUCCUACGGGAGAAAGCGGGGGACCUUCGGGCCUCGCGCCAUUAGAUGAGCCUAGGUCGGAUUAGCUAGUUGGUGAGGUAACGGCUCACCAAGGCGACGAUCCGUAACUGGUCUGAGAGGAUGAUCAGUCACACUGGAACUGAGACACGGUCCAGACUCCUACGGGAGGCAGCAGUGGGGAAUAUUGGACAAUGGGCGAAAGCCUGAUCCAGCCAUGCCGCGUGUGUGAAGAAGGUCUUCGGAUUGUAAAGCACUUUAAGUUGGGAGGAAGGGUAGUAACUUAAUACGUUGCUACUUUGACGUUACCGACAGAAUAAGCACCGGCUAACUUCGUGCCAGCAGCCGCGGUAAUACGAAGGGUGCAAGCGUUAAUCGGAAUUACUGGGCGUAAAGCGCGCAUAGGUGGUUCAGUAAGUUGGAAGUGAAAUCCCCGGGCUCAACCUGGGAACUGCUUUCAAAACUGCUGAGCUAGAGUACGGUAGAGGGUGGUGGAAUUUCCUGUGUAGCGGUGAAAUGCGUAGAUAUAGGAAGGAACACCAGUGGCGAAGGCGACCACCUGGACUGAUACUGACACUGAGGUGCGAAAGCGUGGGGAGCAAACAGGAUUAGAUACCCUGGUAGUCCACGCCGUAAACGAUGUCAACUAGCCGUUGGGAGUCUUGAACUCU